ensembl:lncRNA
AAAUAAAUCAAUUCAAGCUAAAAUGUAAGAGUCUAUAAUUAGGCUACUGAGCCUGAUCUAUUUGUACCAGAGAUUUUCUUACCUUUUAAAAAAAUGUCACCUGGGCUAAAACUCCCUCUGCGACCCUGAUUUGCAUUUGUAUAGCUCACAGCAUUUUCAUUUACAUGUCAAAGCCUCCCCUAGAAUUAGGAAUAGGGAGGUCAUGGGGGGACAACUGCCAAGGGAGGCCCACAUCAAUUUCUGACAAUUUACGGCAGUUUUCGGCGUUGCCCGCAAAUUGCCGCAAACCUGAAAUUCCACGACAAUUUACAGUGCCGCAUACUGCCGAAAAUCCCACUUUUCAUGCAGUGUCAGUCUGGGCAAAGUGCUAAAAAGGUUUUGAGUUCUGAAAUCAGAGAUAAAGAGUUUUGUGAGAUGAAAGACAAAACUAUCCCAGAGCUGUCUGAUAAGGACUGGAUGGCAGAUUGAACAUUUAUUGUUGACGUGAUUGCAGUGAUGAAUGAACUGAACACGCAGCUGCAGGGCGAGGGCCUUUUUGCUCAUGAAAUGCACAUCCAUGUGAAAGCCUUCAUGACAAAGUUGCAAUUCAUUUCAAGGCAACUAGGCAGCAACAAUGUCAAACACGUGAAACCCUGAAAGAAGUCAAACCAUCAUCUGAUCACCGGCACCGACUGAUGAUGUGAUGUCUUUAGAAAGCUAAGAAAAUCCUUGUUUCAAUAGUAUAUGAAACUCAAAAUCCCCUUUGUUAUUAAUGUGACUGAAAAUGAGUCAAAUGUUUCACAUUUUGAAAAUUAUAUUUGAAUAAAUUAUACUUUUGAAAGCUAACCUCACCUUUAAAUUGCCAAAUAAUAACAUACACUCUUACCAGCGGUCAAAACAAUGCCAUCUACUGCUUUUAAUAUAUAAAAAAAUGUAUAUUAUGCAUAAUUGAGUUCGGCAUUUUGGCCUGGCCCUCCAAAAUAUUUUCAGUUUCUCAUUUGGCCCCCUGGGAAAAAUAAUUGCCCACCCCUGCUCUAGGUAGUCUUCAACAAAACACGUCACCAUACUUGUUGUUCUGGCGGUGAAUUGCUCUGCAACACACGCAGAACCAUGAAGUGAAACGAGUGCGUCGACGCAACGACGCAGAAACAUGCGCCGACCUUAAAUCUCACUUUUUUAAAUUGUCGUCUCAGCAAAUCUGCCUAUUAAUUACGCUGCGUACCGCCACCCACAGGCAGAGGGGAGUAUUGAGCCUUCAUACCACCAACAGCGUAACGACACAAACACACAAGUUGGCGCUUUUUUUUCCACCAAUGAAGUGACAGUAUGUAAAAAAUGUUUUUUUUUCACGGCACACCUGACAGCCUCGGUAUGCCGCGGCACUCUGGUUGAAAAACACUGACCUAGAGGUCCUGCCCAAGCAAUAGACAAAAAAACUGUUGCAUCCCCAAGAAACCCAACAAUUUACAAAGGUUCCCAAUCAACAGAAGAACACAAUACCUUCUCCACAUCAUGCCUUUGAAGGGACAAAACCCAUUUUCAUUGAUUUCUGCAACAAAGGUCAGAGCAGAUGGUGAGUUAAACGUGACGUGAGGAAACUCAGUAAACCCUAUGAAAUGACAGUAAAGCUAUCUCUGGGCAGAAGUAGGAUUAGCCUGAUUAAAAUGAUGACAGAACACGUAGAUAAAUUUAUUUCCCUUUAAUGUGGGUUCUUUAUUUCCCCCGACUGCACUCCUGGAGCACAGCCUUAAUGUGUCAAAUUAAUGAGACACUUGGAACAGUGUACAAAUAACAAAUAACCAAUUGCUUCGCUUUACUAACGAGAACAGGAUGUCAUAGAAUAGAGCUGAACAGGUAUUUCCCUAGCGCUGUUCCAAUGCUAACCGCUAACACUGUGUCGUCGUUAGUAGCCACUAGGUCCCGCUCUGCAGCUCCAAAUUACAUUGCAUUACAUGUCAUUUAGCAGACGCUUUUAUCCAAAGCGACGUACAAUAAGUGCAUUCAACCAUAGGGUACAAACUCAGGAGAACAAGAAAGUGCAAUUUCCUCAAAUAAGCCAAUUUACAAUUUGCUAUGGAUGAGUGACGUUACAAGUACAAUUUAAGUGCUAUAAUUUGUUAGUCUUUAGUCGAAGUAGAGUCUGAAGAGGUGUGUCUUUAGUUUGCGGCGAAAGAUGUGAAGGCUCUCUGCGGUCCUGGUGUCUUCAGAGAGCUUGUUCCACCAUUUCGGCUUAAGGACAGCAAAGAGAAGGGGACGUAUUCUCCUGAUGUUGUAGAGCGUGUAUCUACAGGAUUGCAUUGUCGCAGUGAUGUUGGGAGUCAGGGAGAGUUGGCUGUCGAGUGUGACGGCGAGGUUCUUAGCGGUCAGAGUGGGCGUUAGUACGGAGUUUCCAAAGUUGACUGUCAGGUCCUGGGUAAGCGAAUCUUUUCUGGGAAAGAGAAGUAGUUCAGUCUUGUCGGGGUUGAUUUUCAGAUGGUGGGUGGAUAUCCACUGAGAGAUGUCAGUUAGACAGGCAGAGAUCCGAGCCGCCACCUGGGUGUCCGAGUGAGGGAAGGAGAGAAUUAGUUGGGUGUCAUCGGCAUAGCUGUGGUAAGUCGUUUAGGAGACAAAAGGUUGAUUGGCCUCGCCAGAAACUCCUCAAAAUGCAAAACACCAAUAGCUUGACACCCUAAUCAGUGAACAAUCACCAUGUGGUGUUUUGACAAAAAGAGAGUUUAAGGAUUCAAGUCUUAUUUGCUUCAGAAGACAAGGCAAAACAGACUUAGAUCAGGUCAAAACCUAGCAGAGUUAGGAGGGCACACUGGCAGUUAAAUUAAUAGUAGAAUCUAGAACACAAACUGGUACUAAAAGACUGAAAGAGCUUGAGCAAACUGGCAACCAAGAUAACUUCAAACAAAGAGAACUGGCAGUGAAACGACAAGAACUAAAUCAAAUCAGCAAUCAAAUUAACUUAAGACACUAGAAUCAACAACAAAUUUAGCAGACUAGCUUGGUUUAAAGAAAAAGAUACUUAGUCCGAUUUCAGGUCGCCUGGAUGUCUGGUGGCCUUGUAGAAGAGUUGCACGCAUGUGAACUCAUGCCAAUGUACUUAAAGUGACAGUACGCCCUCGCCCUGUGUGCGGACCAUCUAGCAGUCCGAAAACCUCCCUGCCCCCACUUCACCCGGCUACACAUGUUUUGUUGUUUGCGUUACGGUGUUGUUUAUCGAGCGAAUGUGAAUGUUAUUGGAAACUUGUUAACGCCCCAGAACCCAGUAGACUGCCUAAUAGAUUCGUUAUUUGCUUUUGUAAUAUUCUGUUAGUUUGCUAGAUCAAUCCCCACAAAAGAGAGGUAUUUUGAACUUCAGUUUCCCAAUUGCGUUACUAUGAUGAGAUAUACUUCACUACAUAGUUGUAGCAUGAAUAAAGACCACGAGCUUCAUUUGAUUUUUUUGUUUUUACACAAAGUAGUUCUGUUAAAUUUGAAGGGGGAGAUUGCAGAGGAAAAUUGUAUGUCUUCUGUGUCAAGCACAACCAUAUUAGUGUUAGAUUUGGCAGUAACCACUGGAUUAAUUUAAAGUUCAUACUUUGUCUUAGCUCUUGAGUUAAUGCCCGUGGGUACAUGAAACCAACAGGCACACAAGCCCUCUCGUUGUCAACCCCGUGUCUGCUGGACUGCUGCUAUACCAUCAUUCUUGUAUUACUUUUUAAUUCAUGGCUGAGAAGAAAGGUCUGGUCCCUGCCAACCCCUGUAAGGGAGAUGCAGAGCGGAAUUGAGAGGACGAUGGGAAUGGAGAGUGGGCUGUAUAAUUGACACUGACAGAGAGCAGUCAGCCUAGAUUAGUUCAGCUUUGGAUAAGCAGUUCAUUAUCAGCCUGGGUUGAAGGGGAAUGGAAGAAGAGAAAAAAAGUGCAAGAUGGGCAGAGAAACUACUACUACUUUUAACGAAUAAGGAAGUUUGCACCUUUGCAACCCAUAAAUGGUAGGAAAGUGGCAUUUGUUUAGAGAUUUCUCAAAAUAUUAUCCAUCUAACAUUUUUCUCUGUAGGAACAUCCUGCACCACUACUUCAGGAUUUAGGAAACACUAGCAGUAUGCCAUUAUGGACCAUUUUUGGACCACUUUAAGCUAAACUAGAUAUAUUAAAUAUAUAUUGGAUAGAUUACAUUGAAAAUGUGUUUCUGGAUCCUGUGGUCGGAACCUCUCCCAGAACGAAAGGCUCAGCUCCCUUUGCCUUUUCCACGGCGUCAAGCGAAAAAAAUCAACUGGGUUAAAUUUAAAAAUCCAAAAUGAUUUAAUAAGUAACAGAAGCAAAUACAGCAUGGAAUACACUUUUAAUAGUGUAAUAGUCCGUGGAAUAGACAAUCUCCCUUCCCCAGUCCAAUAUGACUAACACAAGAUGGCCUGUCUCUUCGCCAGUACAGUAUUUCUCCUUUUGUGGGGUGUGUCCAUAAUUUUAAGGCGUAUGUGACUGGCUGCACAUUCAAACGUAUCUCUCCAGCCUGGUUGGGCCUUGUGCCUUCCUCUCUGCCUCUAUUUAUUUAUAAACUUGGUAAAAUAUAACUUUGAAUCUUCUGAAGACUUCUCUGAUUAACAAACACAGUCUAGGCCUAUAGGAGCUUAUUUAAGGGCUGGUCCAGGCUACGCUGAGCCAGCCUUACCUGUAAGCGUAAUCAAAAAUGAAAGUCUUAAGCUUUAUCCUUAAUGAGUUAACUGUGUCGGCCCCCCGGAAUGAAAGUGACAGUUGGUUCCACAAAAGAGGAGCUUGAUAACUGAAGGCUCUGAUAUACAUUAAUAUAUAUGUAUUAUACACACACAGUGCUGUCAUUAGCAUUAUUUACUUUUGUGUUUUUUUAGUACCUCAUGGAAAUAUCAUUUGGAUUUACUUGGAUUCUGGAUGAAAAAUGUUAUGAAAAGAUAUGGCAUGGAUUACAAUUUUAGGGAGCCGAUUAAUUAAUAUAGAGAACAGAGAGCGAAGAUGUAUAAUGAUUUCUAUAAAACACUGUUUCUUGUUUGAUCAAAAAAUAUUAGCAAGUGCCCAAAAUAUGCAGACUAAAAAGAAUCCACAUUUACAGCCCUCACUAUUAGUUACAGUAGAUUAUGCUUCUGAUACAUGCACUUUGGAUGGAACAUUGCCUACAUUAUCAAUGAUAUUAAAAUUGUGUAAUGUUAGAUAAAGUGGGGUUCAUGUUGACAUCAUCCUAUUUAGAAAGGUAAGUUCAUGUGCCUUGUUUUCCUAGAGACUCCACAGUUGCAGUGGUGAUUGGUUUCCCUCAGUGCGUAGUGGGACUAGUCUCCCUUGGUGGGGUGGCAGGUCCAGCCAUCUCGGAAAAACUAAAGGUGUUUCUGUAUGUGGGGUACAAAGCACUAGUUCAAAACAUUGAGAUGCAUUUCGUUGUCAGGAUUGAGAAGGCCUUCUCCCUCAAGGUUGGUAAAGAUGGUGUAGAAGAGAUAAAGUGUGUCUUUCCCGAGCCCUUUUCUCCUGAUGGGCAAAGGAAGGAUUUAGUCUGCCUACAAUGAUAGUUUAUUACAAAUAUUUGUGUUAAUCUCCUAAUAAGGAUACGAUGACUGCCUGCCACUUAAAAUCUACUUUAGCAAAGCUCUUCUUCAGACUUCAUAACAGAAAUAGAAUGUUUGUAUAGAGUUAGCACUGUUGCAGUGUUAAUUUUGGCAGCUAUUUUUGAUUUAGUCUUUAGACGAAAAUGCGUGUUAUUUUAGUCUAGUUUUAUUCACAUUUAAUUGCAAUAUUAAACUCCUUUUCUUCCCUUCUCAGGCCCAGCGACCCCCUGUGUUGUGUCUACAACUGCAUAAUAGUUCCUGCCUGGAACGAACGAAUAGCUGUGCAAUCUGAUUUAGCUACACGGCUAGAUUUGACAGUGGUAAGUGGUGCCAAUGAUAAUAACAAUUGCCCAAAUAGACAUUCAACCAAUGAUGUUAGGUGCAGGCAAAUUUAGGAAAAAAAUCUAUUGUGACUUCGUCAAAAACCAACAUUUUUGUCUCGUCUCGUUAACGAAAGUUAAAAUAGAUUUAGUCAUAGUUUUUAUUUUCAAAGAUCCAUUUUCGUCACGUCUUAGUCGUGGGGAAAAAGGUCGUUAAUGAAAAAUUUCGUCAUGGUUUCGUCGACUAAAUUAACACUGCACUGUUGGAAUAUCAGCUGAUCACAGUUUAAAACUCUUCAAUAAAUAUGUAUAGUUCACUUAACAAACUAAUUCAACGUCAUGCAAUGAGUGAAUUCCUGUCCAGUCCUCUGUUGGCCACCAUGUUGCAUGCAAUAUCAUGAUUGUCCCCGUCUUUAUCCAACCUCACACAAGAAAGCUUUUGAGGACUGUCGCUGCUGGGUUGUAGGUGGCGGUACUCAGUGCUGUAGUGGUAAAAUUAGAGGUGGGUAAACUCUGAAUUUUGUGAUCAUACAGACCUCGACGCGAUGCGAAGCAACGCAACACAAAGCGUCGCGACUCUGUAAGGCUGUCCUGGCUAUAUUGCAUUAUGUUAUCAGUAAAAGUCAUAUACAAUCAAUGACAAUGAAUACAUGUGUUAGUAGUUUGUAGUUUAUUAAAUUUAAGAAAACAGUAAAGAAAAGUAUGUCAACAAGACAAUUGCAGAUUAAGAACUAUCUACAUACGGAGUCUCCUUUUUACAGUAGUGCCCAGAGGGCCUCCUUGUCCUUCACGUCAGGUCCUGCCUUGCACAGAGGAGCCAUGGCUCAAGGUUCAUGGGUCCUCUGUGCUUCUCUCUCUAUUCGACCUGGUGUUUCUCCUCUCCCUGUGCUCUCUGCAUCACUGCCUGUCCUAUCACUGCCUGAAAAAAUAUGUUGAAUUUAAGAGUUAACCAGUUAAGCAGCCUGUCAAUUACACUGACAACAUAAGUUAAAGGAACACUCAUGUACUACCUAUGUCAUCAUAAAUAGCCUAUACAGCAUGUUUUUUUUCACAUUGAGAACCGACUUGUUCUCUAAUCUACGCGUCACCAGGCGUUUUUCUUGUCCUUUUACCGUGCACGACCAGCGAACACAGAUCGCGCGACUACUACCCCCCCCGUCGGUCGUUCCGCCCGCAACGACUACUACACCCCCCCCGUCGGACCUUCUCGACCGGUCCGCGAAAUAUUGUCUGACAUGAAACCGGUCCGUGAGGUAAAAAAGGUUGGGGACCACUGGGCUGAUCCACAACGUGUAUGUGUUUACACACCUCCUGGAUCCUGAUCGGUGUCGCUGCUGCAGCCGCAAGGCACUGAUUGGAUGCUCACAGACCGUAAUACAGCGCAGAUGAAAAUGAUUCAGACUACGCCGUUUAUAUGUUCAACAAUAGGAAACGUAGUCUUGGCUGUUUUAAAAUUACACCAAGUUUAUUUCGGAUUAUUCCAACGGAAGAAGGGAACUUUGAGGUGCGUAAACGCUAUUUAUAGGGGCGUAAACGCUAUUUCCAAAAUUCUAGAGGUGCGUAAACGGCGUUUACGUGCGUUUACCCUCCACUACAGCCCUGGCGGUACUCAAGUACACAAUUAAACCCACCAUGCGGCGUCUGCGAAAGAAAGGUAUCACCAUAGAUCAAUAUCAGCACCGCUAAAAGGCACUGCUUGACUGUAAACAAAUCCAAUAACGAAACUUUCAUUUUCAAAAUAUUUUCCAUCUGACCUGUGCAUACAGACCACUUAAAAGUCCCCGCAAAAGUUUAAAGAACCAAUCCCCUUUACUCUUAAUUGCAAUACUGGCACAAGUAAAUACCCAAACAAAUAAUGACUACUGUCCCUCAAGCCUAGUUUAUCCUUCUGCGUUUUCAGAGAGAUGCAAGGACACGCAGACGCAAGAGCCCCUUGCGUGCCUUUUCACACCUCCUUAAGUGCUUGCGUGCGUCGAAAGCAAGCCUCCUGCAGCCCGCAUGGCUCUGAUUGAUCUGCUAACUACAUCCUUUACGGAGUCUCACAUUACUGUUUUCAUAGCACAAUACUGCCAUUAUUAAAAGAAGACUGUUUACGAGAGAAGGGAUCAGAUUGAGAGCUUUUGUCAGAAGAAAUGCGUAAAUAUGACAACUUAUACAACCCGUCAUUGGCGGACUAAAAGGACGCGUGGAUGGCCUCUGAUUCAUGGAGGGAGAUCUCCGGAAACGUCGGUUUGGCGGUCGAGAGGUUCACAAAGUUGUGGAGGAAAAUAUGGGACAAAUGUGUCUGCGAUGAAAAGCAACAGUGGCGAUGCACGGGGCAAUAAAGUCUAUGAUAAAUAAAUAAACAAACCAACGACUUCCACACCAAAGACGUAACUCUGUAGGUCAUCUUCAACAAAAAACGUUACUCCACAUAUUGUUCUGGCAGUGAAUUGCUCUGCAACACACACCUUUUAGAACCAUGAAUUGAAACGAGUGCAUCGACGCAACGACGCAGACGCCGAAGCACGCGCCAGCCUUAAGGCCCCUUAUUACACCCUCCAUCUCCAUUUAGGUCCCCCUCCCAUUACACUUUAACCUCCCCAUCCUCCCUCCUCCGCUUUCCUUCACAUGAAAGACUCAGAAGUAUGCACCAGCCUUUACCUUGUAUAAGCAUGCGUCGUGCAUUCAAAUUCCCAACCAUCAUUUGUAAAUUUGAGAUGCUGCAGAAUUUUAGUCCCAGUUUCAUCAAAAUUGUUGUCCUGUAAUGGAUCUGGGACUCUGUUUAUCGAAAAUAACUAGACCAAAGUCCCAGUUUCAUCUAAAUUGUUGUCCUAUAAUGGGUCGUGGACUCAAAAUAACAAGACAAAAGCCCAAAGAGACAACAAAAGAAAGACCUUACUCAAAGAGGUAAAUUGAUCUUUUGUAAACUGCCGUUUAAAAUUGAGAUUAUUAUUUAUUAUAUAUUAUAUAUAUAAUAUAUAUAUAUUCUAUAUUAACAAAAAAAAACACUACAUAUAAUGAUAUCACAAUUGUAUAUAUAUAUGUGUGUUUGCUUGUAUGCUGGUUUUAAUAGGUGUCAGCCAAAUAAAAAUAAUAUAUAUAUACAUACAUUAUUCUGUGUAUUCACCUCUUCAAAUACGGGGAGACGCGGGCGGCGAGCUGCGCCUCCUCUCGGAUUGUGCAAUCCCUCAUAAACCCGGUUGAGCUGCUCAAUUUAAGCAUGUACAAUUAAUGCCUCUGUAUGUCGCCAAUGUAAUGUCUGUACACACCUCUAUCCCAUAGUCUGGUUCAUGUGUUUUACGCAUCGUGCAACGGCUGCGCAAAAUCUAACUGUUAUUUUGAUUGCGCACUGAUAUGGAACACUCAGAAUGUAAACAGGUACAUUAUGGCUCAAUUCAGUAAACCCCGUGACUCGCUCUCAAUGAAUCAGAACGCUUGAUUUCAUCUACCCAUAUUAUAAAUAAAUAUGCAAUAUACGGGACUGCGGUGAGGACAUACAACCAGGACGUGGAUGAAAACAGGCACAUCUUAUCCAAAAUGAUUUAUUGUGCGAAGUUUUGUGUGGCUUUUGUUCUUUCCUCAACAUCAAAGCUGCAUCUCAAUAUAUAUAACGUUAUAUAUACACAUUUUAUAUAUUUAUAAAUAUAUUUCAUUGUAAUUUAUUUAUCCUUUAUUAUAAUAGUUACGAUAUGGAAGUUAUAUCAUAUUCUGAAUAUAUCAUCUAUUAAUAUACUAAAUUCUUUGAAUAAGAUGUCCUGAUGUUGGAAUAAAUGUUAUGUAUUUAACUGCAAAGUAAUAAUGCAUGUCUAAUAGCCUUUUUUGCAUUGAAUAAUACUGGGAUGUUUACUGACCUGAUUGGCUGGCCCUACCAAAAAAAAUAUCCACCAGCUGCCCCAGCGAGUAUGUAUUUCAGACUAGUAUGUAAAAUGUUUUAUAAAUGUCUGUGCAUAGUUUUACAGAGUAUGUAUGUAUGUAUGUAUGUAUGUAUGUAUGUAUGUAUGUAUGUAUGUAUGUAUGUAUGUAUGUGUGAGUGUGUGAGUGAGUGAGUGAGAGAUUUCAAUAGUGAACGUAAGAAUGUUUCAUUAAUUAAUGUGUGAGAGUGUCUGACGUUGGGCUCCCACCAUUGCGUAAAAGUAAGGCCGACUUUUGAAUGCAGUGUUCUGCUGCAGGACAUAAAACCCCAGAAAGGAAUGUGCCUUCACACCCAGGUGUGAUUUCUCUCUCUGGGUGGAUUGGCCAAGCCACAGACACCACAGGGGUCCCCCUGGUGUGUUCUGUGAGGUCCCUCGUCGAAACUUUCAUUCUGAGCUAACCUCAGGUCGGUGUGAGGUUAAAGACAGUAUCUCUCAAAUCCCUUUCCGAACUGACUCUGGUCAGUGUAAGGAUGAGGCAACAGAGUCUCUUCAAAUCCCUUUCCGGACUGAUACAUUUUUCCGAAUCGACCUGUGUCGAUGAGAGGUUGAAGACAGCCUUUUCAAAUCAACUUUCCAGACUGGCCUCAGGAUUAAGGAUUCGGGCCUCUCCAACCAUUUUCUAGCUGCUCCAGAGAAGUCCGGCUUUCCAGUACCCACUUCUGGCCCAAGCAGCUCACCAAGAAGGAAAACUACCCCCUUGGAUACAACGUGUGUUAAGAGCACACAAGAGCACCAAUAGCUUUUGUGCCACCAAGAAACCCAACAGUCCUCAUAAUCCCAAAUCGAUCCCUGCAAAAAAGGGAUGGACUGGUUGGACACAGUUAAAUGAAACUCGAGGAAACAGACAACCCCAUCAACACACAGUAAGGCGAAGUCUGGGCAGAAGUUAGAUUAGCAUGUGUCGUUAUUUUUGUUUUGGUAUUUAAUGUAUUGUUUAACAAGAGAUUGUAUGUUUUUGAACUGUGUGACGUGAUAAAGUUAACCACUAUCGUGCCUCACUGUUCUGAAUGAGAUCUGCUUUCUUUGAUUUCUAACUUACUAACACACACACACACACACACACACACACACACCUGUCCCUCCACACAUAGAUUUACCUACAGACAGAGGUUUAAAUGUAAGGAACACACGUGGUGUAUAAACACAGCCUGCUAGCAACACAUUGGCCAUGGGGUCGGUAGUUUAGCGUGCAGCAAGCUCCCUUCCUGAGCUCUCCCCUCCUUAACUCACACACCUCCACUACACAUGCAUGAAUGAAUGUUCUUAUAUAUUGUUAUUGGAAGAUAAUAAACCCUGUUAUACUUUAAGCAGCAGUUUUCUGUGAUUUCUUAUGUGUACUGUAAUGCUGGAAGGAAACAGACCGUACUGUCAGGGAUGCGUGGAAAGGCAGGACGCAGAGUUCGAAAACAAAAAGGACUUUAAUAGUCAAAACAGACACACAUGGCUUAAAUACACUAGGGAGGUGCAGGUGAUUGGACACAGGUGGAAAUUAUCAUGACAAUCACAGGAGGACAGGACAUGAAGUGACAUGACCCAGGGAGAACAGAGGCAAGAAACUACAAAAUAAAACCAGACAUUAACCCCAAACCGUGACAGAACUCCCCCCUCAAGGGCCAAAUUCCAGAUGGCCCUAAUCUGACCAGGAACAGACAAGGGGCGGGAGGGAGGGAAACCAGACAAUGGUAGGCCGUCCGGGGGAACUCUGGCGGGCGGCCCGGCAGGCAGUC